ACUCAAAUGAAUUGACGGGGGCCCGCACAAGCGGUGGAUUAUGUGGUUCAAUUCGAAGCAACGCGCAAAACCUUACCUAGCCUUGACAUGCACCGGAAUGGUCCUGGAAACAGGUCAGCCCCGCAAGGGGCCGGUGACACAGGUGCUGCAUGGCUGUCGUCAGCUCGUGUCGUGAGAUGUUCGGUUAAGUCCGGCAACGAGCGCAACCCUUGUCUUUAGUUGCCAUCAUUAAGUUGGGCACUCUAGAGAGACUGCCGAUGUCAAAUCGGAGGAAGGUGGGGAUGACGUCAAGUCCUCAUGGCCCUUACGGCUAGGGCUACACACGUAAUACAAUGGGCAUUACAAAGGGUGCGAAGUAGUGAUACGGAGCUUAAUCCCAAAAAAAUGUCCUCAGUUCGGAUAGGAGUCUGCAACUCGACUCCUUGAAGCUGGAAUCGCUAGUAAUCGCGGAUCAGCACGCCGCGGUGAAUACGUUCCCGGGCCUUGUACACACCGCCCGU
rnacentral:rRNA from 1 species